ACAAAUCAUCAUGCCUCUUACGUCUUGGGCUACACACGUGCUACAAUGGUGACUAACAAAGUGUCGCAAUAUGGUAACAUGGAGCCAAUCAACAAAAAAGUCAUCUCAAUUCGGAUUGUGGGCUGAAACUCGCCCACAUGAAGUCGGAGUUGCUAGUAAUCCCGAAUCAGCAUGUCGGGGUGAAUGCGUUCCCGGGUCUU
rnacentral:rRNA from 1 species